GUUCCGUGCUGGGAACGGGUGCUGUGCCAGUUCACACCGUUCCGAGCCGUUCCGCGCUGGGAACGGGUGCUGUGCCAGUUCACACCGCUCCGAGCCGUUCCGUGCUGGGAACGGGUGCUGUUCCACCGGCACACUAUUGCAGUCUGAAGUGCUUCUGCAGGGAAAGUUGGCCCUGGCAUAGUCUGGCUUGGGUUGAAGGUCUGCUUUCAUUUCCAGUCCUGCCUUGCAAUGGAAAAAGGCAGAUACAGCAUCCCUGAGUCUGGAGUCGCCUUCACCUGCGCUUCCCAGGGCUGCAGAACGCAUUUCAGUGCCCAUCACCACAUUAUCCAGGCGCCACCAGAAGAUUAGGAAGCUUUGCAGUGACAUUCUCAACCAGAUAUUUACCUGGAUUUGCGACUGGUCCUGUGGCCACAGCUGAAGGGAAAUGCCCCUCUCUGGUGUCACCCAGGCAGGAAUCUGUGGAUCAGAAGAUCAGGAGAGCACUGGGAACACAGCUACUGCCCUGAUUAGCAGUUUCAGUCUUGUAAGAGCACUCGUUUUGCUCUCUCAAGGAGGUGGCUCUUUGUUGGCAGCUGGAGCCUAGGAAAGGCUGAGCCCUGCAAUGUGGGGGAGUCACUGCAAUGAGGCUGCAGCCCCCUGCCCAGC